rnacentral:rRNA from 1 species
CACGUAGGGCGCAAGCGUUGUCCGGAUUUAUUGGGCGUAAAGAGCGUGUAGGCGGCUUUACAGGUCCGUUGUGAAAACUCGAGGCUCAACCUCGAGACGCCGAUGGAAACCAUCUGACUAGAGUCCGGAAGAGGAGAGUGGAAUUCCUGGUGUAGCGGUGAAAUGCGCAGAUAUCAGGAAGAACACCCGUGGCUAAGGCGGCUCUCUAGUACGUGACUGACGCUGAGACGCGAAAGCGUGGGGAGCGAACAGG